UGGUUUAAUUCGAAGCAACGCGAAGAACCUUACCAGGUCUUGACAUCCCGAUGCUAUUUCUAGAGAUAGAAAGUUACUUCGGUACAUCGGUGACAGGUGGUGCAUGGUUGUCGUCAGCUCGUGUCGUGAGAUGUUGGGUUAAAGUCCCGCAACGAGCGCAACCCCUAUUGUUAGUUGCCAUCAUUCAGUUGGGCACUCUAGCGAGACUGCCGGUAAUAAACCGGA
rnacentral:rRNA from 1 species